UAACAAUCACAUCUUAGCAACGACACUCUUCUCCUCUUAACAACCUGCACCAGUUUACUGCACACCGCCCAGCUCAAAAGCAGCUUCUUCUUCUCCUCCUCCUACUCCUCCUCCAUUUUCUCUCUACACGCUGCCACUGUAAUUCUCCGAGAGUAAUAAUAAGGAAAUUAUAAUUUAUGUAUUUAAAAAAUACAAAAAUUAAGAAAAAGCAAAAGCAAAGUAUAUAUUACAGCUGACACCACACACCCGCACGAAGUCUACUUUCUCCCCCUAUUUUUCUGCUCGUUUCCCGAUGAUAACCACCAACCACCUCCGGUAGUAACGCCUUCUUCCGCUCCGUUCAUGGCCACCGCUGUGGCGCAAAGCGAUGUCGUUUCGCAAACCUUCCGCGCACUGGUGGAGAACGCGGACCGUAAGUUUGCUCGAGUCCGUGACCUUCCGCCGUACGGACACUCACAAAAUCACUACUUUCAGAAGGUAUUUAAGGCUUACAUGCGGCUAUGGAAGUAUCAGCAAGAGAAUAGGUCGAAGCUGGUCGAGGCAGGUCUUAACCGGUGGGAAAUAGGCGAGAUCGCUAGCCGGAUCGGGCAGCUUUAUUUUAAUCAGUAUAUGAGGACUAGUCAAGCGAGGUUUUUGGUUGAAGCGUAUGUGUUCUAUGAAGCGAUUUUGCAUCGAAGGUACUUCGAAGGAGCUAAAACUAAGGAUCUCGGAGUGAGAUUUAAGGAAUUGAGAUUUUACGCGCGGUUUUUGCUUGUUUCUCUGAUUUUGAACCGGACCGAGAUGGUUCAAUUGCUUGUCGACAAGUUUAGAGCCCUGGUUGAUGAUAGCAAGUUAAAUUUCCGGGAAACAAAUUUCAAAGAGUGGAAACUUGUAGUACAAGAAAUUCUCCACUUUAUGGAAGUUGAUACUGCCUUUUCAAAUGUCCGACCUUUGCGUUAUUGUGUUCUGUUUGAUUCACAUCCAACUUCUCGUCCUUAUGUGGCCCGUUUCCAUGCAAGGAAGGUCCUCAAGUUUAAAGAUGCAAUCCUCACAAGCUAUCACCGGAAUGAGGUUAAAUUUGCAGAAAUUACUCUGGACUCUUAUAGAAUGCUGCAGUGUUUGGAAUGGGAGCCAAGCGGAUCUAUGUACCAAAAGCGUCCAGUUGAAUCAGUCUACCAAAAACGUCCAGUUGAUUCAUAUGAGAAUGGCAAUGCAACUGAUCAUUCUGGAGCUUCUGGACUAAUAGAUAUAAACUUGGCUGCUGAUUUGACUGAUCCAACUUUACCACCAAAUCCUAGGAAAGCUGUUCUUUAUCGUCCUUCUGUGACACAUUUGUUAGCGGUUAUGGCAACAAUUUGUGAGGAGCUCCCUGCAGAAAGCAUUAUGCUAAUAUAUCUAUCAGCCUCAGGGAAGGCUGGUCAAAUUAAUGUUUCUCAGAUGGAAAACUCUGGAGGAUCAAGGAAGUCCUCAAAACCGAGAGUUGUUUCUGGAACAUCUAGUGAACAGAGCAGUUCUUCAUCUGAAUCUCUUGCUAACGGGAAGCGAGAGUCAAGUGAAUAUCAUGAUAAUUAUCUGUUGUUAGGCCCCAGGGGAGCUGGUGGUUCAAAUGCCCUUUAUCCUGGCGAUAUAAUUCCUUUUACUAGAAGACCACUUUUCUUGAUUAUUGAUAGCGACAACAGCCAUGCAUUCAAGGCAGGUCUUACAUGGUGCAGAAAGGGGAGAGCCAGCUGCCUUGCUGCUUUCUCCCUUGAAGCCAGCAUUCAAGAACCUAUCUGGUGUUGACAGAACACAAAAUGGAAGUCAGUUUACCUUUUUCUUGACUGCUCCCCUACAAGCAUUUUGCCAGAUGGUUGGCCUCUCAUCUGGUGAUGCUGAUACAGAUGUUUAUAAUGACGCUGAGGAGAUACUCUCCAAUGCCUUCUCUGAGUGGGAAGUUAUUCUGUGCACAUCAAAAAGCCUGGAUCUCGUUUGGGCACAAGUGUUAUCUGACCCAUUUCUGCGGCGGCUUAUUCUAAGAUUUAUAUUCUGCCGGUCUGUUUUAUCUGCCUUCUGUUCUCCAAGAGAUAGUGAGCAAUAUAUCCCUGUUUGCCUGCCCCAUCUUCCUAGCCCCGUCUCUCCUAGCUCUGAUGUUGUGUGUUCAGCUGUCCGAAGACUUGCAAAUCACUUCAAGACUGCCCAUGACUUUCACUUUGAUGACAUGUAAUUAGGAUUACAAAGUAUUGAAAGAAGUUAGAUGGGUAAAAUGCAGGCUUUAGGCACUCAAUUUCCAUUUAUUCAAUGAGAUAAAACGACAACACAAAUUUGGCCAGUUGGCUUUUACGAGCACUUAAACAGCAACAUAUAUAGCGGUGGAGCCUAAACUGGAAAAGUACUGGAUUUUCACAAAGCAUGGUUGCUUGUGCUUGUUUUAUUGCCUUGCCAACCUUUCAGUUUGUGUGCUGAAAAUGCAUACUGGUUUCCUGUUGUGCUUAGCUGGAUGCUUUUUGAUUUGCAGGUGUGUAACUAUAAUUUUAGUUCUUUAGGUGCUGAUUGGUGUAUAAUCUAAUUGUUUGUAUGCUUUAUUAGAGCUGUUCCCAACGGUGUUAGUCCUUUUUUGUACCUUUGUAAAAGAAAAUGAGUUAGUCAAAAUGGGAUGUGUAUUUUUUUUUUUUUUUUUCCUAUAGUGAUAAUUAUUUCAUAUGUUACUGGAGAAAGCUGCUAAAGAGGCAGAUGUAAAUUGAGUACUGAGAUUUCGAGAAUACCUGGAGAAUAGUUGUACUAUGUUAUAAGCUUGUCAUAAUCUGUUUUCUUCUCUCUUCUUAA